GAUGAACGCUGGCGGCGUGCUUAACACAUGCAAGUCGAACGAAGCAUUUAAGACAGAUUACUUCGGUUUGAGGUCUUUUAUGACUGAGUGGCGGACGGGUGAGUAACGCGUGGGUAACCUGCCUCAUACAGGGGGAUAGCAGCUGGAAACGGCUGGUAAUACCGCAUAAGCGCACAGUACCACAUGGUACAGUGUGAAAAACUCCGGUGGUAUGAGAUGGACCCGCGUCUGAUUAGCUUGUUGGCGGGGUAACGGCCCACCAAGGCGACGAUCAGUAGCCGACCUGAGAGGGUGACCGGCCACAUUGGGACUGAGACACGGCCCAGACUCCUACGGGAGGCAGCAGUGGGGAAUAUUGCACAAUGGAGGAAACUCUGAUGCAGCGACGCCGCGUGAGUGAAGAAGUAGUUCGCUAUGUAAAGCUCUAUCAGCAGGGAAGAUAGUGACGGUACCUGACGAAGAAGCACCGGCUAAAUACGUG
rnacentral:rRNA from 1 species